rnacentral:snRNA from 1 species
GGUUAUGAGGGAAAACAGGCUGUGACAUCUGUCAACACAUUGAUUUCCAGGGUUGAUACAGAUGGUCUGAGCUGAUCCCUGUCCUCCCUCAUAGCCCAUUUAUGUCCCUUCCAAAGCUACCUGCUCAUCCAGAGUGAAUGACCUUCUGAAAGAGGACUCAGUCAUGAAGGGUAUUUAAAAGGUAUCACUUCUAGGCACGUUCAUAAUUUAUUCAAAGAUGUACAAACCUGUAGAACAAAUAGACAAACUUUGGUUUGGAUAAUUCCGUUUUCUAGAAGCAGUCUAGUGAAUAGAAC